rnacentral:misc_RNA from 1 species
GAUGAAGAACGUAGCGAAAUGCGAUACGUAAUGUGAAUUGCAGAAUUCAGUGAAUCAUCGAGUCUUUGAACGCACAUUGCGCCUCCUGGUAUUCCGGGAGGCAUGCCUGUUCGAGCGUCAUUAAAAUCACUCAAGCUUAGGUUUACCUAUUGCUUGGUCUUGGAGAUGGAAGCCAAUUUAUUGGAAUCCUCUUCGAAAUUCAAUGGCGAAGACCCUUGCUCUCCCAAGUGUAGUAAUAACUUAUGUCACUGAAGGAAGCGAGAAAUCUUCUGCCGUAACCCCCAUAUUUUCUAUGAUUGACCUCGGAUCAGGUAGGGAUACCCGCUGAACUUAAGCAUAUCAAUAAGCGGAGGA